UGUGAUUCCAACGUAGGCAAAAUAAUACCAGAAUCUGGCCAACGAGCGAACGGAGGUGUGUCAUGGGCGGGGUUCGCGUUGGAAAAGUCGAUGGGGAUACUGUAUCAAUGUGAGCAGUGCUUCAAGAUAGAAAAUAAUGACAACACGUUCAUAGAAACAGUUGACAACCCAGUUAUUGAAAACAUAAUCUAGCUGAAUGGGUCCCCAAGGGAGGAGAGAAAACAUAUUUUGAGAUAAUUUCUCCUCUGAACGACUCUCACAUCUGCAGUGAAAACCUUGAGUGGACCGAGGGAAGCUCAGAGGAGGAUACAUGUACAAGUGCUGAGACCCCAUGGUGGCCAGAAAGAUGGGAUGCAUCCCAGAAUGCUAUUAAGCGGAGAGAUGGGCCUGCAGUUUUCUACUUGACAACAUGCAUCUGUACAAGGUAAUCAAAUGUUCUCUCAUACAACUCGGAGCUGAAAUCAAAUUCAACCUUACCAACAGACUUAGUGGAACUCUACACAUGAUUCCAAGCCAUGAACCUCUGUGAUUUAGUUAACUCCAUAAGGCCUUUCAGUUUGAUUGGCUAAAUAGUCUCUUGAGUUUCUCAUCAUCAUAUCUGGGAGAUUCUAUGCCAGCGUAGCUGUAAAUUAUUUAUGGUAUCACAAAUUGUUCUGGCAAUUUUAACAUAGAAACUUAAUUGGGGGAAGGAUGUUUGACAUGCUUUUUACAUUUGUAUCACACAACAUUUUUCUCAUUAUGAUGAAAGGGGCCAUUUUACGCCAUUUUUAGACCUAUUACAUGCCUCCUGUAAGAGCCUAUGAUCUGUGGACCGUA
rnacentral:lncRNA from 1 species